AUUGAACGCUGGCGGCAUGCUUUACACAUGCAAGUCGAACGGGGUGAGGAGCUUGCUCCUCAUCUAGUGGCGAACGGGUGAGUAAUACAUCGGAACGUACCGUGUAGUGGGGGAUAACGUAGCGAAAGUUACGCUAAUACCGCAUACGAUCCACGGAUGAAAGCAGGGGACCUUCGGGCCUUGUGCUAUACGAGCGGCCGAUGUCUGAUUAGCUAGUUGGUGGGGUAAAGGCCCACCAAGGCAACGAUCAGUAGCGGGUCUGAGAGGAUGAUCCGCCACACUGGGACUGAGACACGGCCCAGACUCCUACGGGAGGCAGCAGUGGGGAAUUUUGGACAAUGGGCGCAAGCCUGAUCCAGCCAUGCCGCGUGUCUGAAGAAGGCCUUC
rnacentral:rRNA from 1 species